rnacentral:rRNA from 1 species
GUUGAUCCUGCGGGAGGCUGCUGCUAUUGGGAUUCGACUAAGCCAUGCAAGUCCAGGGGUUCUUCGGAACACCGGCGAAAUGCUCAGUAACACGUCGAUAAUCUACCCUUAGGUUCAGGAUAACCUUGGAAAACUGAGGCUAACACUGAAUAGGGGAAUAAAUCUGGAAGGAUUAUUCCUUUAAAAGCAAUGCCUAAGGAUGAGUCGGCGGCUGAUUAGGUUGUUGGUGGGGUAACGGCCCACCAAGCCAGCGAUCAGUAGGGGCUUUGAGAGAGGUAGCCCCGAGAAGGGCACUGAGAUACUGGCCCUAACCCCACGGGGUGCAGCAGGCGCGAAACCUUUACAAUGCACGAAAGUGUGAUAAGGGAAUCCCAAGUGCUUAUGCAAUGCAUAGGCUUUUUGCCAAGAAUAAAUCUCUUGGCGAAUAAGUGGUGGGAAAGACUGGUGCCAGCCGCCGCGGUAACACCAGCGCCACGAGUGGUGGCCACGUUUAUUGGGCCUAAAGCGUCCGUAGCCGGAUUAGCAAUCUUUUGUGAAAUUGUUAAGCUUAACUUAACAGCGUGCAGAAGACACUGCUGAUCUUGGGACCGGGAGGAGUCAGAAGUAUUCCUUGGGGAGCGGUAAAAUGCUAUAAUCCUUGGAAGACUACCUGUGGCGAAGGCGUCUGACUAGAACGGAUCCGACGGUGAGGGUCGAAAGCCAGGGGAGCGAACCGGAUUAGAUACCCGAGUAGUCCUGGCCGUAAACGCUGUGAGCUAGGUGUUGCAUAUUCUAUAAGAAUAUGCAGUGUCGAAACGAAGGUGUUAAGCUCACCGCCUGGGAAGUACAGUCGCAAGACCGAAACUUAAAGGAAUUGGCGGGGGAGCACCACAAGGGGUGCGGCGUGCGGUUUAAUCUAACUCAACGCAGAAAAUCUCACCAUGGGCGACGGCAGGAUGACAGUCAGGCUAAAGGUCUUACUUGACAAGCCGAGAGGUGGUGCAUGGCCGCCGUCAGCUCGUGCCGUAAGGUGUCCUGUUAAGUCAGGUAACGAGCGAGACCUGUACCCACAAUUGCUAACGACCUCUGGGAUCGAGCACUAUGUGGGGACUGCCUUGGAAACAAGGAGGAAGGCGCAGGCAACGGUAGGUCUGUAUGCCCCGAAUCUCAUGGGCUACACGCGCGCAACAAUGGUUGGGACAAUGGGAUACAACUCCGAAAGGAGAAGUUAAACCUCUAAACCCAAUCUUAGUCCAGAUUGAGGGUUGUAACUCACCCUCAUGACGAUGGAAUCCCUAGUAAUCGGAUUUCACUACAGUCCGGUGAAUAUGUCCCUGCUCCUUGCACACACCGCCCGUCAAACCACUCGAGUAGGGUCUAGAUGAGGAUUAGAUUCUUAUCUAAUACGAAUCUAAGCUCAGCGAGAUGGGUUAAGUCGUCACAAGGUA